ACGUUGUCAGUUUGAAGACGGCGACGAUGAAACGUUCCGACGCUGGUGGAUGUGGCUGCGGCCGAUUAGGUAGAUGGUGGGGUAACGGCCCACCAUGCCGAUAAUCGGUACGGGUUGUGAGAGCAAGAGCCCGGAGACGGAAUCUGAGACAAGAUUCCGGGCCCUACGGGGCGCAGCAGGCGCGAAACCUUUACACUGCACGCCAGUGCGAUAAGGGAACCCCGAGUGAAAGGGCAUAUCGCCCUUUCUUUUCUGAACCGUAGGGAGGUUCAGGAACAAGAGCUGGGCAAGACCGGUGCCAGCCGCCGCGGUAAUACCGGCAGCUCAAGUGAUGACCGAUUUUAUUGGGCCUAAAGCGUCCGUAGCUGGCCAUGCAAGUCCGUCGGGAAAUCCACCCGCUUAACGGGUGGGCGUCCGGCGGAAACUGCACGGCUUGGGACAGGAAGGCUCGAGGGGUACGUUCGGGGUAGGAGUGAAAUCCCGUAAUCCUGAACGGACCACCGAUGGCGAAAGCACCUCGAGAGGACUGAUCCGACAGUGAGGGACGAAAGCUGGGGUCUCGAACCGGAUUAGAUACCCGGGUAGUCCCAGCUGUAAACGAUGUUCGCUAGGUGUGUCACUCACUACGAGUGAGUGAUGUGCCGCA
rnacentral:rRNA from 1 species